CCUACGGGUGGCAGCAGUGGGGAAUAUUGGACAAUGGGGGCAACCCUGAUCCAGCCAUGCCGCGUGUGUGAAGAAGGCCCUCGGGUUGUAAAGCACUUUCAGUGAGGAAGAACGCCUGGUGGUUAAUACCCAUCAGGAAAGACAUCACUCACAGAAGAAGCACCGGCUAACUCCGUGCCAGCAGCCGCGGUAAUACGGAGGGUGUGAGCGUUAAUCGGAAUUACUGGGCGUAAAGCGCGCGUAGGUGGCUUGAUAAGCCGGUUGUGAAAGCCCCGGGCUCAACCUGGGAACGGCAUCCGGAACUGUCAAGCUAGAGUGCAGGAGAGGAAGGUAGAAUUCCCGGUGUAGCGGUGAAAUGCGUAGAGAUCGGGAGGAAUACCAGUGGCGAAGGCGGCCUUCUGGACUGACACUGACACUGAGGUGCGAAAGCGUGGGUAGCAAACAGGAUUAGAUACCCUUGUAGUC
rnacentral:rRNA from 1 species